CCUACGGGAGGCAGCAGUGAGGAAUAUUGGUCAAUGGCCGCAGGGCUGAACCAGCCAAGUCGCGUGAGGGAUGACGGUCCUAUGGAUUGUAAACCUCUUUUGUCAGGGAGCAAAGGGCGCUACGUGUGGCGUUUUGCGAGUACCUUACGAAAAAGGAUCGGCUAACUCCGUGCCAGCAGCCGCGGUAAUACGGAGGAUGCGAGCGUUAUCCGGAUUUAUUGGGUUUAAAGGGUGCGCAGGCGGAAUGUAAAGUUAGCGGUAAAAUUUCGGGGCUCAACCCCGUCGUGCCGUUGAAACUGGCGGUCUUGAGUGAGCGAGAAGUAGGCGGAAUGCGUGGUGUAGCGGUGAAAUGCAUAGAUAUCACGCAGAACUCCGAUUGCGAAGGCAGCAUACCGGCGCUCAACUGACGCUCAUGCACGAAAGCGUGGGUAUCGAACAGGAUUAGAUACCCGAGUAGUC
rnacentral:rRNA from 1 species